rnacentral:rRNA from 1 species
UGAGUACGAGAUGCUACGGCAUCGAAGCAGUCUAUGUCAUACUUCCAAGAAAAGCUUGCAAUGUCAUAAACAAAUAAUGCCUGUACCAUAACCGACACAGGUGGGUAGGUAGAGUAUACUAAGGGGCGCGAGAUAACUCUCUCUAAGGAACUCGGCAAAAUGACUCCGUAACUUCGGGAGAAGGAGUGCCUUAUUUUUAUAAGGUUGCAAUAACAAGAUCCAAGCAACUGUUUACCAAAAACACAGGUCUCCGCUAAGUCGUAAGACGAUGUAUGGGGGCUGACGCCUGCCCAGUGCCAGAAGGUUAAAGAAGUUGGUUAGCAUUAGCGAAGCUGAUAACUGAAGCCCUGGUGAACGGCGGCCGUAACUAUAACGGUCCUAAGGUAGCGAAAUUCCUUGUCGGGUAAGUUCCGACCCGCACGAAAGGCGUAAUGAUUUGGAUACUGUCUCGGAGAGGGGCUCGGUGAAAUAGACUUGUCUGUGAAGAUGCGGACUACCUGCACCUGGACAGAAAGACCCUAUGAAGCUUUACUGUAACUUGAGAUUGAAAUUGGACUUUAUCUGCGCAGUAUAGGUGGGAGACGUUGAAAAUAUUCUUGCGGGAAUAUUGGAGUCAUCAGUGAGAUACCACUCUUAUAAUGUUAGAUUUCUAACUUUGUAUCAUUAUCUGGUCAAAGAACAGUUUCAGGCGGGCAGUUUGACUGGGGCGGUCGCCUCCCAAACGGUAACGGAGGCGCACAAAGGUUUCCUCUGAACGUGUAGAAAUCGUAUCUAGAGUGUAAAGGCAUAAGGAAGCUUGACUGUGAGACCUACAAGUCGAGCAGGGACGAAAGUCGGUCUUAGUGAUCUGACGGUGCUGAGUGGAAAGGCCGUCACUCAACGGAUAAAAGUUACUCUAGGGAUAACAGGCUGAUCUCCCCCAAGAGUUCACAUCGACGGGGAGGUUUGGCACCUCGAUGUCGGCUCAUCGCAUCCUGGGGCGGUAGUACGUCCCAAGGGUUGGGCUGUUCGCCCAUGAAAGCGGUACGCGAGCUGGGUUCAGAACGCCGUGAGACAGUUCGGUCCAUAUCCGGUGUAGGCGUUAGAAUAUUGAGAGGAGCCUUCUUUAGUACGAGAGGACCGAGAAGGACAUACCUCUGGUGUACCAGUUAUCGUGCCAACGGUAAACGCUGGGUAGCCAUGUAUGGAGAGGAUAACCGCUGAAAGCAUCUAAGUGGGAAGCCCACCUCAAGAUAAGUAUUCUCAC